rnacentral:rRNA from 1 species
ACGUAGGUGGCAAGCGUUGUCCGGAAUUAUUGGGCGUAAAGGGCGCGCAGGCGGCGUCGUAAGUCGGUCUUAAAAGUGCGGGGCUUAACCCCGUGAGGGGACCGAAACUACGAUGCUAGAGUAUCGGAGAGGAAAGCGGAAUUCCUAGUGUAGCGGUGAAAUGCGUAGAUAUUAGGAGGAACACCAGUGGCGAAAGCGGCUUUCUGGACGACAACUGACGCUGAGGCGCGAAAGCCAGGGGAGCAAACGG